GGGCAUGAAGAAGGAGGAAAAGGAUGCAGGAAAGAAUUUAAGAGGCAAAGUGGAUGUGAUAAAGGAACGAGAAGAUCAUGAGAAAAGAUGAAAAAGAGAACAGUGACUGACCCAUGUCAUGAAGCAUCAGUUUCUAAACUUUGCUGUAUGCAGGCUCAAUGGUAAGCAUCCCUCUUCAGGAAGGAGCUUCCUGUGUUUUCUCUGGGAACUCACCUGUUUUCCACUCCAGACUCUCCAAGAUAUGCAGAGCUUUGGGCCAGGAUCCUACAGCCACGGGUCAUGCAGAGCCAGUUGGCCACAUCCUUUGGGCCAAAUUUGGUCCUAACCAGGUCUUACCACGGUAACUGCUAACCAGUCCAUCUUCAGUUAAUAUUUCAUGCGUAAGAUGUUUCAUGAAGUAACUGAAUGGGCUAAUGGGUUGUUCACUGGAUAAGACUCCCAGAUACUCCCUUUCAUGCCAUUCCCCAGAAUUCCUUCACCUCCCAGUGCUGUCUGUAAGGGUGAAGAUACUCCAUUUUGCCCCAUGCUCUUUGCUGUGCCCCAGAUAGGCUCAAACAUUUUUCCCUUUUGGGGAUUUUGCAGGUAGGAAUUGUUGAACAUCUUACCAUUUAAUCCAGAAGUUAUGUCCUUUAAGGAAUCGACCCUGAGCCUGUGAGUUUUACUUUGGGUUGGGGGUGAAGGAGUGGACCUUGCAGCAUUCAAGGUCAUCCAAGAUCAUCCAGUUAAGGCCCCUAAGGUCACUACGGGGGGAAAAGCCUGGUGAGGGAAGAGAAAGCAUUAGGGGGAGCUGCACCGUGCUGAGAAAUAACACCACACAGAAGUCUGUGUUCUAAUCUCAGCUCUGCUUUGCAUUACUGUGUGACCUGGAGCUGAUCACAGCCCUCUGAGUCUUAAAGGGGUUGGACAAGGCCAACUAAACAUUAGAAACACCUGAAAGUGCUGGUUAAAAGGAAGAAUGCAUGAGCUUCACUCCAGAUUUACUAUAUCAGAAUUUCCAGGGUCAGGGUCCAAGAAUCUGCAUGUUUAAUACGCUUUCCACAUGAUUUUUCCCCCCUCUGGACUUAAGAAAACAAUGGGCAAGUCAGCUCAUGAAGAACUUUUCAGAUAUUCAGACUAUUAUUCUGAGAGAGAAAAUAUUGGCAGAGAACAGAUGGGAUUUUUCUCAAGGAAAAGAAAUGGAAAUCCUACAUCUUGCAAGAAAUAGAAAAAAAUAAAUAAACUGUUUGAAGAAGAAUCACAUCAGGCUGGCAGGAGAGAGCCUGCGGCUCGGUGUCUGACCCAGAAUGUUAAAGCCAGCCUGGCUUGGCUCCAGGAUAAAGGACACUCUGUCAGCCUCUCCACAUUGAUUCAUCUCCCCAGCCCCAAGAUCAGGAGAGCAUUCUGUUCCUUGAAGCAUUUUAUGACUGUAAGUCAGAAGUGCUGCAGUUUUAAUAAAAAGCUGUAUUGUCCUGAUCUUGUGCAAUAUACUGAACUAUCAUUUUCCAACUGUUGGCUUGCAUACUGGUUUGUGUGAGUAAGCCCGUCCAUCCACAUCACUAAAAGAUAGUAGUAGUAACAACAAUGAC
rnacentral:lncRNA from 1 species